GUAUCUUUGUUAUUUCCAUUACUCAAUACAUUCUAUAACAUUGUGAAAAUGUGUGAACAUAGACCUAGAAAAUACAAGGUGAAGCUGACUUUGCAGCAACUCCUCAAUCUAUUUGAAGCAAUAAGAAAUACUCCAGAUCUACAAUAUGUGCACAGUUGGAAAAAUAAAGAAAACAAGUGUGCACUUGUCAAAGACCAGCAACAACCUGUUCAGAUUUAUUUCAAUAAUGAUCCUUCCGCAGGUUCACCUACGGAAA
rnacentral:misc_RNA from 1 species